GAAAUUACCUGGCAGGGGAGACACCUGGGUCACAAAGAGGUUUUCCCAGGGUGAGGCUCAUCCAUUGCACUCUGGAUGUGUUGACCCCUGCGAUUUCCUCAAAUAUGGGAAGCUCAGCUGCAUAAUUUGUGGUAAUGAUGAAUAUCAGAAUUGAGCACUGGGUGUUCAUGC
ensembl:snRNA U1 U1 spliceosomal RNA